UGUAGCCGGAGCGAAAGCGAGUCUGAAUAGGGCGCAUAGUCAGUGGAGGUAGACGCGAAACCCUGUGAUCUACCCAUGACCAGGUUGAAGUUGCAGUAACAUGCAAUGGAGGACCGAACCAGUAUACGUUGAAAAGUAUUUGGAUGAGUUGUGGGUAGGGGUGAAAGGCCAAUCAAACUGAGAGAUAGCUCGUACUCCCCGAAAUGCUUUUAGGAGCAGCGUGUGGAGAUGUUUGUUAGAGGUAGAGCUACCGAUUGGACUAGGGGGAGUCACAUCCUACCAAAUCCAGACGAACUCCGAAUGCUAAUAAAUUAUCCAUGCAGUGAGGGUUAGGGUGCUAAGGUCCUAAUCCGAGAGGGAAAGAACCCAGACCUACGGCUAAGGUCCCUAAAUCCGCGCUAAGUUGAACUAAGGAGGUCCAAUUGCUUAGACAGCCAGGAUGUUGGCUUGGAAGCAGCCAUUCAUUUAAAGAGUGCGUAACAGCUCACUGGUCGAGCGAUAGGGCAUCGAUAAUAAUCGGGCAUUAAGUGCGGUACCGAAGCCUAGGAUAGUAAUAUGGUAGGGGAGCAUUCUCUGUGCAGUGAAGAUGUGCUGUGAGGCAUGUUGGAGCGCAGAGAAGCGCAAAUGUAGGCAUAAGUAACGAUAAUGCGGGCGAGAAACCCGCACACCGAUAGACUAAGGUUUCCCCGGCAAUGCUAAUCAGCCGGGGGUUAGUCGGGACCUAAGGCGAACCCGAGAGGGGUAGUCGAUGGACAAUCAGUUAAUAUUCUGAUACUACCCAUAACUGCGAUGGGGUGACGGAGGAGUGAAAGUCUCGCGUACUGACGGAAUAGUACGUUGAAGCGUGUAGGUAUAUUGGAUGUAGGCAAAUCCGCAUUCGAUGCUGAACGUGAUAGUACCACAACGCUACGGCAGCGUGGAUAGUAGACCUAAUCAGACUUCCGAGAAAACCCUCUAAGCUACAGGUUAUGGGUACCCGUACCGUAAACCGACACAGGUAGUCAAGGAGAGAAUCCUGAGGUGCUCGAGUGAUUCAUGGCUAAGGAACUAGGCAAAAUGACCCUGUAACUUCGGGAGAAGGGGUCCCUACGUGAGUAGGGCGCAGCGAAACGAUCCAGGCGACUGUUUAUCAAAAACACAUGGCUUUGCGAACUUGAAAGAGGAAGUAUAAGGCCUGACACCUGCCCGGUGCUGGAAGGUUAAGGGGAACUGUUAGCUUUGGCGACGCGGUGAACUUAAGCCCCAGUAAACGGCGGUGGUAACUAUAACCAUCCUAAGGUAGCGAAAUUCCUUGUCGGGUAAGUUCCG
rnacentral:rRNA from 1 species